rnacentral:rRNA from 1 species
GACGAACGCUGGCGGCGUGCUUAACACAUGCAAGUCGAACGGAAAGGCCUUUUCGGAGGUACUCGAGUGGCGAACGGGUGAGUAACACGUGGGUGAUCUGCCCUGCACUCUGGGAUAAGCCUGGGAAACUGGGUCUAAUACCGGAUAGGACCGCACUUUAGUGUGUGUGGUGGAAAGUUUUUUCGGUGUAGGAUGAGCCCGCGGCUUAUCAGCUUGUUGGUGGGGUAAUGGCCUACCAAGGCGGCGACGGGUAGCCGGACUGAGAGGUUGGUCGGCCACAUUGGGACUGAGAUACGGCCCAGACUCCUACGGGAGGCAGCAGUGGGGAAUAUUGCACAAUGGGCUCAAGCCUGAUGCAGCGACGCCGCGUGGGGGAUGACGGCCUUCGGGUUGUAAACUCCUUUCGCCAGGGACGAAGCGUUUUGUGACGGUACCUGGAGAAGAAGCACCGGCUAACUACGUG